rnacentral:misc_RNA from 1 species
AUAUAACUUUUUUCCAGGUUCCAUUUGUUCUCGAAGCAGUGUGUCGUUUUCGGCUAUCGAUAUCCCGUAUCGAUAGAAAAUUGGCACAACGGUGAAUUUUUUUUCUGAACAUCUGCAAUAUUUACUGUCUACAACUCAAAAUGUAAAAAGGUACAAUUAUUGUUUAUUUUGCAAAACAGUAUUCUGCUCUUUGAGUAUAUGGCAUCAUGACUUUUCUGUGUGCUUGAAUGCUCUGAUUCCUUUAUUCUUUUUUUUCUUGUCUGAAAAAGCCUUUCGUUUGAUGGCGAAAAAAAAAACAACAGCCAAGCGCAAUGCAGGUUUGUGGUAGAAAAAACAUGCAAUGAAACUCUGGUCACGCUAUCACAGUACAAAGGGACUAUUGUCUUUCAAACAGUAUGCCAUCAAUCCCGUACUCGUCAAACUCAUGGCAAUAUUGGUGAAAUUUCGACAUGGUAAAACUUGUGAAAAAAAAAACGGUUAUCCUACGUCAUCGAAUUUUUAUGGUGCUGUCGAACAGUGUGUUGUGUGCAAAGACUAUUGAAGGUCACAUUGCUCAAGAGUUAAAGACUUAUUGCAUAGACCAUGCCUAUUUUUUAAGACUUAUUCAGAAGUUACGAUUGAAAGGAAGGAAGAAGAAUCUCUUUCUUUCACGCCCACUAAGACCAUCUAACGGCGGGAAUAUCAAAGAUUCAAAGUGUGACGAGCUGUCAUCAUAGAAGAUAGCACCGGAUAUAAGUUUUUAUAUUUCAACAAUUAGAAUUUUUCCAAACAUUUGCAACUUUUUUUUUUUUUUUUAAAGAUCGUCAACCGUCAAUUACGAUUGCAAGAUCGUGAUAGAUUGUUUUGGAGUAAACAUAGAACGACAUUUUUAAUACUGUAAUUCAUCUCAAACCGUUAGGUCUUACUAAUAUUUAAACAAAAGCUAAAAAUUAAAUCCAAUUUUGCUUUAACCUUAAACUUUAGAAGAUGUAGGGGGAUGCCAUGCAGUUUUAUUAACAUAUUGGUACUGAUCGUUGGCCAACUGAUAAAAGAGCCACAAGAGAUAAAGGGAUUACUAUUUGCACAAUUGAUUCUUGAUUGAUGAUAUUUCUGUCUGGCAAGUAAUGGCCUACUUGACUAUACUAUCACCAUUAAUUUAACACACCAUUUACAGGGAGAAGUUGAGUAGAUCCGGUAGAGGACUAGAGGUUGUACCAUUCAAAAAUCGAAUUUCUCUACUUAAUGUUGUACCCCAUGCAGAUCUACAGAAUCAUCCAAUUCAACUAAACCUAAAGACGAUUUGCUUUCAGUUGAUUAGUCUGAAGAUACGUUCGUAACAAUCCAAGGGGUAAUAAUACGUAAAUCAUCGCUUGGCGAUUAGUUUUCCAUUUUCACCACUGAGUGCUUGUGGUGGUUGGUGGUCAUGGUGGAUACAAACAGCAGUGAAUUUCUACUCCAUCUGGAUGCUUCCAUACAAAAAGUUUCUCUUGAACCUAAUUUAUUAUUUUUUUUUAUAAUUUCUUAUUCCAAAUCUGAUGUAUUUGUUUUAUUUAGUCGGAACAGUGGUUGCUAUUAGCAACCAUAGGAUGUAUUACUUUUUAUAGCAACUUUCCAAUAACGAAUAACUUAGCCCUUCCCCUCCCCCCCCCCAAAAAAAAAAAAUAGAAAGAAAAAAAAUGUUUAUUUAAAAAAACGUAUCAGUCCUAUGUUUUUUAUACUAUAGAAUAACAUUCAAAAGAUUUUAAAAAGGAAAUAUGAUUCCCAUUAAAUAAUUUUGACAUUUUCUUUCAUUCAGCUGUAAUUUUAAACUUUGAUUUACGAUUUCCAACUCCAGGUGGCAUCACCGUCUGUCUGUUUGUGGAAUUGCUGUUGACCGUUUGUAAAUUAGGUAGUACUUUUGAAAGCUCAAACUUGCAGUCAGAAUUAAUCUGAAAAUACAAUUACGUAAUUUGUCAAGUUUAACUGCUCAAAUUUUUCAAAAUAUUUUGAACAAAUUGUUUCAACUUUAAACGAAAAGUCGUAACAUAAUGGUCGAUACGCGCAAAGUAUUGUCAUCUAAACUUAAGAAAAAGCUUCUUGAAAAACUGACCCGUAUACCAAGGCUGAAAAUGGGGAACAAACUGUUCAUAUUUUUUACGUUGAGCUAUUAUGCUCACAUGAAGCAACUUGCAAAGCUGGCCACUCUCAAUGCACUGAUGGAAAAGAAACGGGCCAUUGCCAGUAAACAUGUUAUAGAAGCUCACCAGAUUAUUAUGGAAAAAACCAAAAUGCAGAGAAAACAAAGAACAUUGGAUGAAAUGCUUAAAAAUCAUAGUAAUACCUUGAGAAGUCCAACAGAUCUCUAAAAAUUGCUUUAUCAAGCUUGUCAUUCACAAUUACAAUGUCAAAAUUAUUAGGGUCACUUCCUGAAGAGUAAGCAGACACUUUAAACAAAUGGUGAACAAAAACUUUAAACAUGAUAUACCAUAUUCCAUCUCAGCUUUUGCUGUUAUAAGUCGUUUGUGGAGACUCUCUUCACUUUCAGUGUUUCUUCCCCUAAGUCUUUGCUCUAAAACUUCCAUUGAAGGAGGCUUCAUGAAAAUGAAAACAGGAUUAAGAGAUGUCUGUUUUAUCAGCUUGACACCUUGGGUAUCAAUGUCCAAAAUGCAUAUUUUAUUGCUUCGUUGUACAUCCUCUACUGCUUUUUUACUUCCGAAUUAAGUAGCAUUUGUUAGAUAUAAUGAUACAAUACAAAAGUAUUCUUCAUA